rnacentral:misc_RNA from 1 species
GGGACUGGCGGCGGCGGCGGCGCCGCCGCGGCUGCCAGCGGGGAGGGGCGACGCGGCCGUGGCCAGGAUGGCGAAGAGGGAGCAGGAGCUGGAGGAGAUUCGGGCCAUGCCGACGGAGAAGAUCGAGGAGGAAGUGGUGGACCUGAAGGGGGAGCUCUUCAUGCUCCGCCUCAAGCGCUCCGCGCGCCAGGAGUUCAAAUCCAGCGAGUUCGGCCGCAUGCGCAAGAGGAUUGCUCGUAUGCUGACUGUCAAAAGAGAACGGGAAAUUGAACAAGGAAUCAACAAGAGAUUGUCUAGGAAGCUUGACAGGAAAUGGAAG